ACUAGGGUAGCCUAGUGGACAUGGCACCUGCCCGGUAAGCAGAAGGUUGUGGGUUCGAUUCCCGCCCCUGGAA